AUACCGGCUGCUCGAGUGAUGGCCACUAUUACUGGGUUUAAAGCGUCCGUAGCUUGACUGUUAGGUCUCUUGGGAAAUCUUUUGGCUUGACCAAAAGGCGUCUAAGAGAUACCGGCAUUCUUGGAACUGGGAGAGGUAAGCCGUACUUCGGGGGUAGGAGUGAAAUCUUGUAAUCCUCGAGGGACGACCUAUGGCGAAGGCAGCUUACCAGAACAGCUUCGACAGUGAGGGACGAAAGCUGGGGGAGCAAACGGGAUUAGAUACCCCGGUAGUCCCAGCCGUAAACAAUGUGCGUUAGGUGUGUCGGUUACCACGCGUAACUGAUGCGCCGAAGAGAAAUCGUGAAACGCACCACCUGGGAAGUACGGUCGCAAGGCUGAAACUUAAAGGAAUUGGCGGGG
rnacentral:rRNA from 1 species